UACAGAGGGGGCACGCGUUGUUCGGAAUUACUGGGCGUAAAGGGCGCGUAGGCGGCCUUCUAAGUCGAACGUGAAAUCCCCGGGCUCAACCCGGGAACUGCGUCCGAUACUGGAAGGCUUGAAUCCGGGAGAGGGAUGCGGAAUUCCAGGUGUAGCGGCGAAAUGCGUAGAUAUCUGGAGGAACACCGGUGGCGAAGGCGGCAUCCUGGACCGGUAUUGACGCUGAGGCGCGAAAGCCAGGGGAGCAAACGGG
rnacentral:rRNA from 1 species